rnacentral:lncRNA from 1 species
UAUUGUUUAAGCUUUAAUCAAUUAAAAACGAGAUAUUCUUAAGCUUGAUACUUAUUGUCUCGACAUGUGGGGUGUUAAAUAUCAUCUGUUCCUACUCAAUUAAUAAGUAAAUCAAACUGCACUUUAUUUUCAAAAAAAAAAAGCAGCUGCACUUUUCAAUCGGAAAACCAAAUUGCCAAUUAACCACAAAAAGAGUUUUAGAAGGAAACAGUGUCCAUGUGUAUAGAAUGCAUUAAGAUAUAAUAAAUUUGAGAUAUUAAUUUGAUUAGUGGUCAUAAUUAUAGGAAUAUGAACUCGAUAUAUUAUUAAGAUGAUUCUACAAAUUUUGUCGGGUAGGUUAGUCAAUUCGGAAUCAACAACUUUAGAUGAAAAAAUGAAAACCACGUAUUCUAAGUUCUAAGUUCUAAGUUCUAACCCUUUAGCAAAGUAUGUGAUGUAUUUAUCAAAAAAAUAAAAAAAAAGUAUGUGAUGUGUAUAUAUGCACUAUGCCUUUAAUCGAUAACUCUUCAAUAUUAAUGGCUC